rnacentral:rRNA from 1 species
UAUACAUGCAAGUCGAGCGAGUGAAUUUAACUGAUCCCUUCGGGGUGACGUUAAUGGAUCUAGCGGCGGACGGGUGAGUAACACGUGGGCAACCUGCCUGUAAGACUGGGAUAACUCGCGGAAACGUGAGCUAAUACCGGAUAACACUUCGAACCACAUGGUUUGAAGAUGAAAGGCGGCGCAAGCUGUCACUUACAGAUGGGCCCGCGGCGCAUUAGCUAGUUGGUGAGGUAACGGCUCACCAAGGCGACGAUGCGUAGCCGACCUGAGAGGGUGAUCGGCCACACUGGGACUGAGACACGGCCCAGACUCCUACGGGAGGCAGCAGUAGGGAAUCUUCCGCAAUGGACGAAAGUCUGACGGAGCAACGCCGCGUGAGUGAUGAAGGUUUUCGGAUUGUAAAACUCUGUUGUUAGGGAAGAACAAGUACAAUAGUAACUGAUUGUACCUUGACGGUACCUAACCAGAAAGCCCCGGCUAACUACGUGCCAGCAGCCGCGGUAAUACGUAGGGGGCAAGCGUUGUCCGGAAUUAUUGGGCGUAAAGCGCGCGCAGGCGGUCCUUUAAGUCUGAUGUGAAAGCCCACGGCUUAACCGUGGAGGGUCAUUGGAAACUGGAGGACUUGAGUGCAGAAGAGGAGAGUGGAAUUCCACGUGUAGCGGUGAAAUGCGUAGAGAUGUGGAGGAACACCAGUGGCGAAGGCGACUCUCUGGUCUGUAACUGACGCUGAGGCGCGAAAGCGUGGGGAGCGAACAGGAUUAGAUACCCUGGUAGUCCACGCCGUAAACGAUGAGUGCUAGGUGUUAGGGGGUUUCCGCCCCUUAGUGCUGAAGUUAACGCAUUAAGCACU